CAUCAGAAUUCUGUUGUUGAGAAGAAUUCAGGCCAGACAAUGCGGGCAGAAUUAAUUAUUGAAUCUUAUAGAUAAAACAAUAAAAUAACCAAACCUCCCAUGUUUCUUGUAUCUGGUGGAGGUGGUGCUGGAGAAACACUUACAGGAGACAUAUUAAGUCUACAUACAGCCUUUGUCGUCUCUAUCUUCCGUCUCUUAGCCCAUCUAUCUGUCCAUCUUACAAGCCCCACAGCUCACAUCUCUCUCUCAAUUAUUACAAAUUUGGAACCGUUCCUCUCGGCACUCAAUUGUCCACUCCUCUCUUCCCUUCUUACUAGCAGACAUGGAUAGAGAAAUAGGUGGAUGUAUUGAGUGUGGCGAAAAGCGGACAUGUACACUGACACAUGAUGACUGGAGGGUGUGGGGCU